GGCUGGUCCGAGUACAGUGGUGUUUACAACUAAUUGAUCACAACCAGCUACAGAUUUCUUUGUUCCUUCUCCACUCCCACUGCUUCACUUGACUAGCCUUAA
rnacentral:Y_RNA from 1 species